rnacentral:rRNA from 1 species
CGUCGUCAGCUCGUGUCGUGAGAUGUUGGGUUAAGUCCGUAACGGGCGCAACCCUUGUCCUUAGUUACCAGCACGUUAUGGUGGGCACUCUAAGGAGACUGCCGGUGACAAACCGGAGGAAGGUGGGGAUGACGUCAAGUCAUCAUGGCCCUUACGGCCUGGGCUACACACGUGCUACAAUGGUCGGUACAAAGGGUUGCCAAGCCGCGAGGUGGAGCUAAUCCCAUAAAACCGAUCGUAGUCCGGAUCGCAGUCUGCAACUCGACUGCGUGAAGUCGGAAUCGCUAGUAAUCGUGAAUCAGAAUGUCACGGUGAAUACGUUCCCGGGCCUU